rnacentral:rRNA from 1 species
GGACCUGACUGCUAUCGGAUUGAUGCUAAGCCAUGCGAGUCAUUGUAGCAAUACAAGGCAUACGGCUCAGUAACGCGUAGUCAACCUAACCUAUGGACGGGAAUAACCUCGGGAAACUGAGAAUAAUGCCCGAUAGAACAUUAUGCCUGGAAUGGUUUAUGUUCCAAAUGAUUUAUCGCCGUAGGAUGGGACUGCGGCCUAUCAGUUCGUUGGUGAGGUAAUGGCCCACCAAGACUAUUACAGGUACGGGCUCUGAGAGGAGUAGCCCGGAGAUGGGUACUGAGACACGGACCCAGGCCCUAUGGGGCGCAGCAGGCGAGAAAACUUUGCAAUGUGCGAAAGCACGACAAGGUUAAUCCGAGUGGUUUCUGCUAAAGAAACCUUUUGUCAGUCCUAGAAACACUGAUGAAUAAGGGGUGGGCAAGUUCUGGUGU